GACGAACGCUGGCGGCGUGCUUAACACAUGCAAGUCGAACGAAGAGCGAUGGAAGCUUGCUUCUAUCAAUCUUAGUGGCGAACGGGUGAGUAACGCGUAAUCAACCUGCCCUUCAGAGGGGGACAACAGUUGGAAACGACUGCUAAUACCGCAUACGAUCCAAUCUCGGCAUCGAGACUGGAUGAAAGGUGGCCUCUAUUUAUAAGCUAUCACUGAAGGAGGGGAUUGCGUCUGAUUAGCUAGUUGGAGGGGUAACGGCCCACCAAGGCGAUGAUCAGUAGCCGGUCUGAGAGGAUGAACGGCCACAUUGGGACUGAGACACGGCCCAGACUCCUACGGGAGGCAGCAGUGGGGAAUCUUCCGCAAUGGACGAAAGUCUGACGGAGCAACGCCGCGUGAGUGAUGACGGCCUUCGGGUUGUAAAGCUCUGUUAAUCGGGACGAAUGGUUCUUGUGCGAAUAGUGCGAGGAUUUGACGGUACCGGAAUAGAAAGCCACGC
rnacentral:rRNA from 1 species